CCCCUCUCAGGGUCGCAUCUGGGGAGUUUUCAGUACUCCAUUAGUCUCGACUAUGGAAGGGAGAGUCAAGCAGAGGCACACCCAUUCUCUUCCCAGCUUGGGCAGUGGCUAGUGAGUGGAAGGCAAUCUGCUACAAGU